CUGAUCACGAAAACAGAAUAUCUGAAGA
rnacentral:sRNA from 1 species